ACGUAGGGGGCAAGCGUUAUCCGGAUUUACUGGGUGUAAAGGGAGCGCAGGCGGCGCGGCAAGUCUGAUGUGAAAGCCCGGGGCCCAACCCCGGGACUGCAUUGGAAACUGCCGGGCUGGAGUGUGGGAGAGGCAGGCGGAAUUCCUAGUGUAGCGGUGAAAUGCGUAGAUAUUAGGAGGAACACCAGUGGCGAAGGCGGCCUGCUGGACCAAGACUGACGCUGAGGCUCGAAAGCGUGGGGAGCAAA
rnacentral:rRNA from 1 species